GAUGAACGCUAGCGGGAGGCUUAAUACAUGCAAGUCGAGCGGCAAGUUUUGAUAGCAAUAUUGGAACCUAGAGCGGCGCACGGGUGAGUAACGCGUACAUGACCUGGCCCUAUACUGGGGGAUAGUCUUGGGAAACUGAGAAUAAUCCCGCAUGUGAUUAGAAUGCUGCAUGGCAAAUUAAUUAAAGCUGAGGCGGUAUAGGAUGGGUGUGCGUCUGAUUAGCUAGUUGGUAGUGUAACGGACUACCAAGGCGAUGAUCAGUAGGGGGCGUGAGAGCGUGACCCCCCACACGGGUACUGAGACACGGACCCGACUCCUACGGGAGGCAGCAGUAAGGAAUAUUGGUCAAUGGAGGGAACUCUGAACCAGCCAUCCCGCGUGAAGGAUGAAGGGGCUCUGCCUUGUAAACUUCUUUUGCAUGGGACGAAAAAACUUAUUAUUAAGGACUGACGGUACCAUGAGAAUAAGCACCGGCUAA
rnacentral:rRNA from 1 species